GAUGAACGCUAGCGGCAGGCUUAAUACAUGCAAGUCGAGGGGCAGCAUGAUUGUAGCAAUACAAUUGAUGGCGACCGGCAAACGGGUGCGGAACACGUACACAACCUUCCAAUAAGUGGGGAAUAGCCCAGAGAAAUUUGGAUUAAUACCCCGUAACAUAACGAUGUGGCAUCACAUUGUUAUUAUAGAUUUUUCGCUUAUUGAUGGGUGUGCGGCUGAUUAGAUAGUUGGCGGGGUAACGGCCCACCAAGUCUACGAUCAGUAGCUGAUGUGAGAGCAUGAUCAGCCACACGGGCACUGAGACACGGGCCCGACUCCUACGGGAGGCAGCAGUAAGGAAUAUUGGUCAAUGGACGCAAGUCUGAACCAGCCAUGCCGCGUGAAGGAUUAAGGUCCUCUGGAUUGUAAACUUCUUUUAUCUGGGACGAAAAAAGGCGAUUCUUCGUCACUUGACGGUACCAGAUGAAUAAGCACCGGCUAACUCCGUGCCAGCAGCCGCCGUAAAAC
rnacentral:rRNA from 1 species